GCAAAAAAAAAAAUCUUUUGGAGUUUUUGUAUAUAGAUUUUUGUAAAAAUCUCCAGAAGGGACCUGAUGUAUCUUCAGCAGGUGUUUUCUUUAAUUUUUACCUCAGAAUCUGCAGGAGAUCACAAGUGCCUUCCAAGCUGGACAUUUCGAAGGAAGAACCGUUGCAGGAUCUAAAGAGGAUUCUUCAAGAAUUAGCAGGCUCAGACAGUGACAUUCCCUCUGUGGAUCUCAGUGGCAAUGGUGGGAGAAAAUCACCUUUAUCAGCCAUGAGCAAUGCAGUGUAAGAGGAUCCUUCCUGCUCACACCCUGCAGAGCUUCAGUCCCAAGAUGUUUCCCUGCCCUUUACAUCCCUGGGAAUUGCAUCCAUCUGCUCGGCAGCUCGCUGUUACACAUCCUCCCCCAG